GGUGAGAUGGCCGAGUUGGUUAUGGCGCCAGGUUAAGGAUUUUAAGAGCCUUAACAUCAAUAUCCUGGUGGAGCAAUCCGCGUGGGUUCAAGUCCCACUCUCAUCA